GAGUUUGAUCAUGGCUCAGGACGAACGCUGGCGGCAUGCCUAACACAUGCAAGUCGAGCGAGGUGAUUUUUUUGGGGUGAAGCUAGCGGCGGACGGGUGAGUUACCAGUGGGCAACCUGCCUUAUUGAGGGGAAUUGCCUUCCGGAAGGGAGGUUUAUUCCGCAUUAGGUUGGAGGUUUGCCUGGAGUUGCAAAUUAAGGAGCCAUUCGCUUAGGGAAGGGCCCCGGGGGCCUUAAGUUGGUGGGGGAGUUACGGCUUCACCAGGGGGACGAUGGUUAGCGGCCUUGGGAGGGUGUUGGGCCCCAUGGGGACUGAGACACGGCCCAGAUUCUUACGGGAGGCAGCAGUGGGGAAUAUUGCACAAUGGGGGAAACCCUGAUGCAGCAAUGCCGCGUGAGUGAUGACGGCCUUCGGGUUGUAAAGCUCUGUCUUCAGGGACGAUAAUGACGGUACCUGAGGAGGAAGCCACGGCUAACUACGUGCCAGCAGCCGCGGUA
rnacentral:rRNA from 1 species